rnacentral:rRNA from 1 species
GACGAACGCUGGCGGCGUGCUUAACACAUGCAAGUCGAACGAUGAAGCUGGAGCUUGCUCCGGUGGAUUAGUGGCGAACGGGUGAGUAACACGUGAGCAAUCUGCCCUUGACUCUGGGAUAACUGCGGGAAACUGUAGCUAAUACCGGAUACUUUCACUGGAAGGCAUCUUCUGGUGAAGAAAGAAUUUCGGUCAAGGAUGAGCUCGCGGCCUAUCAGCUUGUUGGUGAGGUAACGGCUCACCAAGGCGAUGACGGGUAGCCGGCCUGAGAGGGUAACCGGCCACACGGGGACUGAGACACGGCCCAGACUCCUACGGGAGGCAGCAGUGGGUAAUAUUGCACAAUGGGCGCAAGCCUGAUGCAGCAACGCCGCGUGAGGGAUGAAGGCCUUCGGGUUGUAAACCUCUUUUAGCAGGGAAGAAGCGAAAGUGACGGUACCUGCAGAAAAAGCACCGGCUAACUACGUGCCAGCAGCCGCCGUAA